AUUGAACGCUGGCGGCAGGCCUAACACAUGCAAGUCGAGCGAGCGGCGGACGGGUGAGUAAUGUCUGGGAAACUGCCUGAUGGAGGGGGAUAACUACUGGAAACGGUAUCUAAUACCGCAUACCAUCAGAUGUGCCCAAAUGGGAUUAGCUAGUAGGUGGGGUAACGGCUCACCUAGGCGACGAUCCCUAGCUGGUCUGAGAGGAUGACCAACCACACUGGAACUGAGACACGGUCCAGACUCUGACUGGAGGCAGCAGUGGGGAAGAUUGCACAAUGGGCGCAAGCCUGAUGCAGCCAUGCCGCGUGUAUGAAGAAGGCCUUCGGGUUGUAAAGUACUUUCAGCGGGGAGGCGUUACCCGCAGAAGAAGCACCGGCUAACUCCGUGCCAGCAGCCGCGGUAAUAC
rnacentral:rRNA from 1 species